rnacentral:rRNA from 1 species
AUGCAAAUAGGCGGAUUCUGGAACCCCAAGGAUUCAACGGUAUAUGGAUAUGGAAAAUAUAAGAUUUCCGAUCCUAGCGGGAAAAGGCGGGGAACAGAUACCCAAUAGGAUCCUUGGGAGGAACUUUUGGUAAUGGCCUUGAUCCUCUAUGCUAUUUUUUAUGUGUCCUUAGUUCUAUUGAACUUUUUCAUUCUUUUAAACAAGAAUCUAAUAAACUAG